UAACGCGUGGGUAACCUGCCCUGUACACACGGAUAACAUACCGAAAGGUAUGCUAAUACGAGAUAAAAUACUUUUAUCGCAUGGUAGAAGUAUCAAAGCUUUUGCGGUACAGGAUGGACCCGCGUCUGAUUAGCUAGUUGGUAAGGUAACGGCUUACCAAGGCGACGAUCAGUAGCCGACCUGAGAGGGUGAUCGGCCACAUUGGAACUGAGACACGGUCCAAACUCCUACGGGAGGCAGCAGUGGGGAAUAUUGCACAAUGGGCGAAAGCCUGAUGCAGCAACGCCGCGUGAGCGAUGAAGGCCUUCGGGUCGUAAAGCUCUGUCCUCAAGGAAGAUAAUGACGGUACUUGAGGAGGAAGCCCCGGCUAACUACGUGCCAGCAGCCGCGGUAAUACGUAGGGGGCUAGCGUUAUCCGGAAUUACUGGGCGUAAAGGGUGCGUAGGUGGUUUCUUAAGUCAGAGGUGAAAGGCUACGGCUCAACCGUAGUAAGCCUUUGAAACUGGGGAACUUGAGUGCAGGAGAGGAGAGUGGAAUUCCUAGUGUAGCGGUGAAAUGCGUAGAUAUUAGGAGGAACACCAGUUGCGAAGGCGGCUCUCUGGACUGUAACUGACACUGAGGCACGAAAGCGUGGGGAGCAAACAGGAUUAGAUACCCUGGUAGU
rnacentral:rRNA from 1 species